UACGGAGGGGGCUAGCGUUGUUCGGAAUUACUGGGCGUAAAGCGCACGUAGGCGGUUCGGCAAGUCAGAGGUGAAAUCCCCAGGCUCAACCUGGGAAUUGCCUUUGAUACUGUCGGACUAGAGUCCGGGAGAGGGUAGUGGAAUUCCCAGUGUAGAGGUGAAAUUCGUAGAUAUUGGGAAGAACACCGGUGGCGAAGGCGGCUACCUGGACCGGUUCUGACGCUGAGGUGCGAAAGCGUGGGGAGCAAACAGG
rnacentral:rRNA from 1 species